UGCGAUUAUCGUUCAAUGGUAGGACGCUUGUCUUCCAAACAAGCUAUGUCGGUUCGAAUCCGAUUAAUCGUA
rnacentral:tRNA from 1 species